rnacentral:rRNA from 1 species
CCUACGGGCGGCAGCAGUGGGGAAUAUUGGGCAAUGGAGGAAACUCUGACCCAGCAACGCCGCGUGAACGAUGAAGGUCUUCGGAUUGUAAAGUUCUUUUCUAAGGGAAGAAGAAAGUGACGGUACCUUAGGAAUAAGCUUCGGCUAACUACGUGCCAGCAGCCGCGGUAAUACGUAGGAGGCGAGCGUUAUCCGGAAUGACUGGGCGUAUAGGGUGCGUAGGUGGUUUGGCAAGUUAGUAGCGUAACUCCCAGGCUCAACCUUGGAACUACUUCGAAAACUAUUGGACUUGAGUGCAGGAGGGGCAAGCGGAAUUCCAGGUGAAGCGGUGAAAUGCGUAGAUAUUAGGAGGAACACCAGUGGCGAAGGCGGGUUGCUGG